UACGUAGGUGGCAAGCGUUGUCCGGAUUUACUGGGCGUAAAGAGCGCGUAGGCGGUCGAGUAAGUCGAAUGUGAAAGCCCCCGGCUCAACUGGGGAGGGUCAUUCGAUACUGAUCGACUCGAAGGCAGGAGAGGGAAGUGGAAUUCCCGGUGUAGUGGUGAAAUGCGUAGAUAUCGGGAGGAACACCAGUGGCGAAGGCGACUUCCUGGCCUGUUCUUGACGCUGAGGCGCGAAAGCUAGGGGAGCAAACGGG
rnacentral:rRNA from 1 species